UGCCUGGCUGGCCCCAGAUUCUCCUCUUGCAAGCUGAGAGGCUGGAAGUCUACGUCCAGAGUGAGGCAGCGACUGGGAUGUGCGGUUGGCCUUAUGCAAAUGUCUUGCUCACGCAAUGGAAAGGUCCCGGUCUCUGGGCCUUUUUCAGAGCCCUGAGACAUGGAGCCCGGGAGGCAUCUCCCCACAGGCAAUCAAGGGAGAAGCUUAAGCCGAUUCUUCUGUUUUCUGGCAGCAGCCUUUGCUUGCCUUCUCCCUCUGGGGAAAUUAGCUUGCUGGCUCAGAGAGAGGGAAAAUAAACAAGUCUAACCUGAAAUAUGCAUUAGAGUUUAGCUAUUUUUGGAGGUUCCCGAGAUUGAAAAUGGCUGAAAGGCUGACCACUUGGCAUCUGUCCUGCAUGAGCUCUCGGAGGCUCUGCAGGGAGAGAGAGGGGAGAGACGUGCCCAUCACAGGGCUGAGGCGGGCGGGGGGAUCUGUGCAGCUGGUCAACAGAACUGGGGCCUGGACCAGCCUGUUCCUCUUAGCGCCUGGCUCCGAGAAGAGGUGAAGGGAGUGAGAAGGCGGCCGUCUUCAAACCAGGACGAGCUUCUUCCCAGAGACCAGAUCUGCCACCACCCUGACCUUGGACUUCCAGCCUCCAGAACCACAACAAAUCAAUGUUUGUGGUUUAAGCGCCUCCCCCCCAACCCGUCUGUGGUAUUUUGUCACUGCAGCCCGAAUGGACUAAGACCACCCGUCAUCUCUCUCUGCAUCCACAGCCCUCAGUAGGACGCCUGGCACACAGCAGGUGCUCAAUAUAUGCUUGUUGCGUAAACGGACCUUUAUCCAUGACCUCACCUGCAGAUCCUCUCACGGAGAAGGAAACAGAGGAGGUGACGAACAGCAACCCAGAGGUCUGCCAGCAACCCAGAGGUCCGCGGACAGGCGAGUGCAUAAACAGAAUGCGGUAGCUCUGUACCUGGGAGACCCGCCCCCGGAGAAGGAAUGACGUCCUGACACAGGCUGCCACGUGUGUGAACCUUGAAGACACGAGACCCCUGAAGGCGCCGGACAGGGAAGGUCCCAGGCUGUGUGACGUCGUCCCGGUGGGAUUUCCGGAGCAGAUCUCCCGUCUUUUCGUCCCGACUCCUCUCAAACAUGAGAAAGGAAGUUCCUGCCUAUUUGCCUGGAUUCUGCUUUUGCGAUGGCUUCUAUCUGGGACCCAACUCAGGUGAGAAAGGAGGACAUUCAUCAAGAAAUGCAUCCCCUCCGUUAGGCGCAACCACAGUCUCUCAGAAUUCAGAGGUUCCAAACUGCUGCACUGGACUGGAAAGACAGGAUGAAAAACGGGCUGACCUCCUCUCUUGCAGAGAACCAGCUAAUGAUAAUAAUGAUGACGUCAAUGAUUAUAAACUACCAUCCCGGGGUGCUCGGCAGGCUAAAUAUGUUAUUUCAUCGAUCCCUCGGGCAACUGGCAAGUUCGCGUUUUUGUAUCCGCAUAGCACAGAAGAGAGAAGUGAAGGGACGGGUGCCCAAGACAAUGCGACAUAGAGAUGGCGUCUGGACGUAGGUGUAACUGAUUCCAAAGCGAGGGUCUUCCUCUUUCUGGAAUGUGGGAUCUCGGGUGCAACACAGCCAAGGAGAUCACUUUCAUUUACUUGUCCCCUCCUUCAUAAAUCUAUCCCCCCCUUUUUAAAGAUUUUAUUUAUUUGAGAGAGACAGAGACAGAGACAAGGACAGUGAGGGG